CCCAGCACAUCUCCAGGGAGAGCUCAGAUCCCCUUGACAUCAUCGCUCUGGUUGCUAGGCAGCUCUGCCUCAGAUUUUCAAAGCUUGUGAAGUUCUAAAAUAGACUACUUUAAUUGGUUUGCUCAUUUUUAGCUUUGAUGGUGGGUGGAGCUGAAAAGGGUUACUUUCCUGCCAGUCAUUGGAGAAUUGAUACAUAUCUGCAUGUGACCUGUGGCCAUGCUUCUUUGUGUUGUGAUGCUGGUUGAAUACUCAUGAUAAGAUGAAAGCACCACUGAUUUUAACAACAAAAGAUGGACAUAAGAAAAGCUGGAUUCUUUGGAGCUGAAUUAGAUGGAAGCUGAGUCACCUCCGUCUCUCCUGGAGUCUGAGCCGGCUGCUACCAAGACCUUCCUCGUUAUUCAAACUCAUUCACAUGAAUACCAAAAAGCAACAUUUGAUGGUUGCGGAAGAUUUCCAUCUUCACAGGUCAUGAAAUGGACCUGCGUUGGGAUACUUUUUGUUUACCACCUACACUAAGGAUUUACAACUGCCUAAGUGUUAUAUUUCCAAUGAUUGUGUUCUGAACAGAAGUCUCUGCCUGAGGCAAGGACAACUUCUUUAUUCACAUUGAAAAUGACAGCAGGUAAAAGGGCAAGAAUUUUUUUUUAAAAAAAUUCCACUUUUAGUAUAUUUAGACUGAAAAUCUUAUAU